rnacentral:rRNA from 1 species
UACGGGGGGUGCAAGCGUUGUUCGGAAUUACUGGGCGUAAAGGGCUCGUAGGUGGCCAACUAAGUCAGACGUGAAAUCCCCAGGCUUAACCUGGGAACUGCGUCUGAUACUGGAUGGCUUGAAUUCGGGAGAGGGAUGCAGAAUUCCAGGUGUAGCGGUGAAAUGCGUAGAUAUCUGGAGGAAUACCGGUGGCGAAGGCGGCAUCCUGGACCGAGAUUGACACUGAUGAGCGAAAGCCAGGGGAGCAAACGGG